rnacentral:rRNA from 1 species
UAGAUUAUGGCUGAACGCCUCUAAGUCAGAAUCUGUACUAGAAACGAUGAUGUUGGUCCCGCACAUGUUAGUUGUGUUUAAAUAGAGCUUCGGCUUGUGAACCAUACAUGUUGGUCUAAUGGCUUGGACGGAAAGGUCUUUGUCAUUUGCCGGCGAAUUGAAAUUUAGAUAUGGGCGGGGGUGAAUCCUUUGCAGACGACUUGAA